CCCCGACCAAAGAGCAGAAAACAGCCUUAUACCAUUAAUGUGUCUUCCAAAACAGGUGAGAAAACCCUGCUCUUGAAAACUGUGUUCAGCAAGCACCAGAACAGCAAUAUAUAUACUAGUUCAGCAAAUUAGGCAUCACACUAAACUCUGAAACAUAUUAACAUGACUAAUGAACCAAUAUCAUUAUAAAACACACAAUAAU
rnacentral:lncRNA from 1 species